GGCUGGUUAGCUCAGUCGGUUGAGUGUGGUGCUGAUAACACCAAGGUCGUGGGUUUGAUCCCCGCUCCGUCCC
rnacentral:tRNA from 1 species